CUCGGAGCUGAGCCAGAACAACAACUACAGAGAGAGAGUGUCAGGAUGGCGACAGGGAUACAGUAUGGAAGAUCCCCCCUGGAUAUCGCCAACGUGAUGCAGAAAUUGCAAGGGACCCGGUUCUGAGUGCGGAGUGCCACACACAAAAGCAAGAUGCUGCUAGAAAUCUGAAAUGAAAACAGAAAGUACUGGGAGUACUCAGCAGGUCUGGCAACCAAUGUGGAGAGAGAGA